rnacentral:rRNA from 1 species
AUGUUUACUAUUCGUUGCUUGUAUUUUGCUAAUUAUGCCUCUUUGUUUUCUUUAGUAUAUUAUGUUGCAUAUUAUCGUUUAACUCAUCAACUCACGAUGCAGGUACAUAGAUCAGAGAUGGCGAAGAGCUACUAUACCGUGUACGUUGGGAGGGUUCCAGGAGUCUACGACCACUGGCCAGCCGCUCAGGCCCAGAUGCACAGGUACCCGGGUGCUAGCCACAGUGGGUCCGACAGCAGAGCCGAAGCGGAAAGUGGUUACUUGAGCUUGACACUCCAGCAUGAGCAGGGGCGGGACCGCUGGUACUACAUAGUCGCGCUCUUGCUCAUGCUGAUCGCUCUUCUCUUCUACCUCAUGGUUUAG